rnacentral:rRNA from 1 species
GACGAACCGUGCGAACGUUGUUCGGAAUCACUGGGCUUAAAAGGGAGCGUAGGCGGGCUAUCAAGUCUGGGGUGAAAUGCCACGGCUCAACCGUGGAACUGCCUCAGAUACUGACGGCCUCGAGGGAGAUAGGGGCAUGCGGAACUGUAGGUGGAGCGGUGAAAUGCGUUGAUAUCUACAGGAACUCCGGUGGCGAAAGCGGCGUGCUGGAUCUCUUCUGACGCUGAGGCUCGAAAGCUAGGGGAGCAAACGGG